GUAACAGUGUACUUUUGGACAGGGACGUGGUGGCGGUUGGGGAGCGUCGGAAGUGGCUGGCAAUCCUUCGUACCCUUUGCACGAUGUCACUCAACCUUAGGUAUGUGCGUAGGAACUUCUGUACCACAAGGUUGAGGACAUGUGCCAUGCAG